ensembl:lncRNA LOC102548326 uncharacterized LOC102548326
CGCCAUGCUGACUAGGGCUUGUACUAUGCUUUGAAAGCGUCAUUCAGACUUCCGGGUGGUACUGGUAGCUGCCCCGGAACCUGCAUCUCCAAUGCUCACUGCCUAGUGCUUUGAGAAGCACUACACGCAUGCUCCUCCAAUCUGUGUUCCUCAACCCAAGAAACUGUCUCAUCUCGUGCAUCAAUCAAGCUGUGGGCACUGCCCUGCAAGCCAUUAUCCUAAGAUGAUAGGCCGAAACCCCAAGUCCUGAUUAAGUCUGGACUUUCCUUGAAAAUUGAAUGGUUUCUGGAAGAUGGGGUUCCAACAAUAAUACCAAAAACGUAGAAUGCAGGCAGCCCCACUACUUGUGCCACUGAUAGUUUCAGUUCAAGCUACACACAAUUGAGCGUUUGGACCUUUACUUCAUAACUUCUGUCUAUAUGCUGCAGAACCCAGCACUUGGCUAUGCUCUGAGCUUGCUUGCAACUUAUGAUGAAGAACUCUUCUUCAGCAAGAUUUGAAAAAAGGAAAGGCUAUGGAAGCUCAUGUGAGUCCAGAUAUGAUGAUGGAACUCCCCAUGAGGAAAGGGUCGGAUCAGUCGUCUCCGUGACCUCAGCCCUCCAAUGACUGGAUGGAUGAGGACGGUAAAUGUCUGCUCUAAACCAGACAGCUAGACAUACACCUGUGUAGAAGAAAACCACCAGGAGGUGAAGAGCAGCUCAGGCUAGACAAGAGGAAGGUGUAUAUCUAAACAAUUGCUCUGUGUCAUCUCAAAUGAAUGAGGUCAUGCUGUGAAUGGCAGCUGCAGGACCUGGCCUGACUGACAUACAAUUGUAUAAAUGUGUGCAUUUGUCUCCUUAUCCUUUUUGUAUAGUUUACAAAAGUAUUAAUAUAGUUUUAAUAAGUAAAUACUUUUAGUUUGUAGAUCUUGAUUCAUCAACUCUAUUUGAUUAAGUCCAAAAUCUCUGAUCUGGAAGAAAUAAUGGCCUUGUAUUCCAUGGCGGGGGUGGGGGUGGUUAAAGAGGAUCUUACGCUAACUUGGGAAAGUCUAGAAGGUUUCCUGGAAGAAGUAGCAGCUAAGCUUAGAUGUGAAGGAUGAAUAGCAGUUAGAAAGCUGAAGAUAGAGAAAUGACUAGGGGAGUGUGCGUUCUAGACACAGGGACAGCAGAUAAGAGUUCUAACCACAGACUGACUUUUUACACAAGGUCUUACUAUGUUGCACAGAUUGACUUCAAACUUCUAGGUUCAACAACUCUUUUGCCUCAACCUCCCAAGUACCCAGAAAUAAAGACACACAUCAUAAGACCUACGGAGAAGUUCUUUUUAUCUGAUGACACCUUUAUUUUGUUUUGGGGGUGGUUUCCUUCUGGUUGGUUGGUUGGUUGGUUGGUUUUUGAUUUUCAAGACAGAGUUUCUCUGUGUAGCCCUGGCUGUCCUGGAACUCACUCCAUAAGCCAAACUAAGCUCAAACUCAGAGAUCCACCUGCCUCUGCCUCCUGCAUGCUGGGAUUAAAGGCAUACACCACCACCACCCCUGUCUGUUUUGGUCUUUUAAGACAGGAUUUCACUAUGUAACCCUAAAUGACCUCAGCUUUCCAAGUGCUGGCACUAUAGUCAUAGACCACCAGGUUGGGCCUGUAUUUUCUUUUUUUUUUUUUUUCUUUUUUUUUUCCGGGGCUGGGAACCGAACCCAGGACCUUGCGUUUCCUAGGCAAGCGCUCUACCACUGAGCCAAAUCCCCAACCCCUGGGCCUGUAUUUUCUUAUUAGUGUAUUUACAGCCCUGGGCAUAUAACAAGUACUCAAUUAUUCAGUAAGUGAAAAAAAUGUCUGUUUCCAAAGAAUUUUUUUCCUCAUAGAAAGGAAAUGUUUGGCUACCAAGCAAGUGCUUUACUGGAGCAUCAUGGAGGGCCUGAAUUGGCUAUAAAAUUCAUUACCAUUGUACUUUCUUAUAGAGAAGAGCCAGAAAUGGAGCUAAGCAGGAAAAUCUAGCAUGUGCAAGGACAGGAGUCCAAUCCUUGAACCAAAAAUAAAAUUACAGAAAAACCUACUAGUCACUAAGACACUGAAGUUUUGUUUUUGUUUUUUUGUUUUUUGUUUUUUUACAACAGGUUCUCCCUCUGUAAUUAGGCUGGCCUCAGGGUCUCAAGUGCUGAGAUGGCAAAUGUGAGCCACCAUAUCUGGCUAACAUGGAAGUUUCAUUUAAUUAUUUCCCCCUGAUUACAUAAGCAAUUACUUUUUGAGGACAAUCUACAUGUGCUUCACAGUGAGUGAAUGCUUUACAAAUUCUUAUUUUAGGGCUGGCAAGAUGGUUCACCAAGUAAAGGUACUUGUCACUAAGGCUGGUAAACUAAAGGGAAGAAAUGACUCCCAUGAGUUGUCCUCCGGCCUUCAUAUAUUGUAUAGAAAACACACACACACACACACACACACACACACACACACACACACACACACACACACAAUCUCAUUUCCAUACUACUUCAAGCCAGAUAUCUAACAACACAGAAUUGAUCAAACUAUGGUACAUUUUAGCUAAUAGAAUAUAUUACAAAUUAUACAGGUACUAAAUUUAUAUUUAUGAUGUAAUUUGAAAACCAG